UGAAAAGGAAAUAUCUGACAGAUGACUCAGAAGCUUGCAAGGUUCCCCAACCAGGGAUUGAACCUGGGCCUUGGCAGUGAAAGCGUGGAGUCCUAACCACUGGACUGCCAGGGAAUUCCCUGGAACCCAGCGUGGAGUCUGUGCCAAGGCCACAGGUGCAAGACCUUUCACCAAGGCCACAGACACGGAGCCCAGAACCAACAUCACCUCCGAAGCUGACUGAGAACCUUUGUAACCGUUGCCAAAAGGGCCUCUGAUCAUCACCCACCAGCUUCCUGACCCCACUUGGCAAAAGUGCCCACAUCAGUACUCACCCUCUAGCGCCCUAACCAAUCACCUAUGCCAACUUUCCAGAGGGAAUUAUCUUUGUUUUGAGGCUAUAAAAAUUGACUACUAACCCACGAAGUGUCAGCUCUCUAUUGAGCCAGCUUGCUGUUCUAACUUGUGUCCUGUCGACUUCCCAGGGCUGUUAGGAGGUCAGCUCACCGUGCUCACAGCCCUCGCGUUACCUCUGCUCUUAAUAAACCCACUCCUUUCUGC
ensembl:lncRNA